UUGAACGCUGGCGGAAUGCUUUACACAUGCAAGUCGAGCGGCAGCGCGGGGCAACCUGGCGGCGAGCGGCGAACGGGUGAGUAACAUAUCGGAACGUACCCUAUCGUGGGGGAUAACACAUCGAAAGAUGUGCUAAUACCGCAUACGCCCUGAGGGGGAAAGCGGGGGACCUUCGGGCCUCGCGCGAUUGGAGCGGCUGAUGUCGGAUUAGCUAGUUGGUGGGGUAAAGGCCUACCAAGGCGACGAUCCGUAGCUGGUCUGAGAGGAUGAUCAGCCACACUGGGACUGAGACACGGCCCAGACUCCUACGGGAGGCAGCAGUGGGGAAUUUUGGACAAUGGGCGCAAGCCUGAUCCAGCCAUGCCGCGUGAGUGAAGAAGGCCUUCGGGUUGUAAAGCUCUUUCAGACGGAAAGAAAUCGGGCGCGUGAAUAGCGUGCCUGGAUGACGGUACUGUCAGAAGAAGCACCGGCUAACUACGU
rnacentral:rRNA from 1 species